UACGUAGGGUGCGAGCGUUAUUCGGAAUUACUGGGCGUAAAGCGUGCGCAGGCGGUUCUGAAAGUCAGCUGUGAAAGCCCCGGGCUUAACCUGGGAAUUGCGGUUGAAACUACAGGGCUAGAAUCUGGCAGAGGGGGGUGGAAUUCCACGUGUAGCAGUGAAAUGCGUAGAGAUGUGGAGGAACACCGAUGGCGAAGGCAGCCCCCUGGGCUGAGAUUGACGCUCAGGCACGAAAGCGUGGGGAGCAAACAGG
rnacentral:rRNA from 1 species